UCAGAUUGAACGCUGGCGGCAGGCCUAACACAUGCAAGUCGAGCGGUAACAUUUCUAAGCUUGCUUAGAAGAUGACGAGCGGCGGACGGGUGAGUAAUGCUUGGGGAUCUGCCUGAUGGCGGGGGACAACCACUGGAAACGGUGGCUAAUACCGCAUAAUACCUAUGGGUCAAAGUGUGGGACCUUCGGGCCACACGCCAUCAGAUGAACCCAAGUGAGAUUAGCUGGUUGGUAAGGUAACGGCUUACCAAGGCGACGAUCUCUAGCUGGUCUGAGAGGAUGAUCAGCCACACUGGGACUGAGACACGGCCCAGACUCCUACGGGAGGCAGCAGUGGGGAAUAUUGGACAAUGGGGGCAACCCUGAUCCAGCCAUGCCGCGUGUGUGAAGAAGGCCUUCGGGUUGUAAAGCACUUUCAGUGGUGAGGAAGGUGGUGUCGUUAAUAGCGGCAUCAAUUGACGUUAGCCACAGAAGAAGCACCGGCUAACUCCGUGCCAGCAGCCGCGGUAAUACGGAGGGUGCGAGCGUUAAUCGGAAUUACUGGGCGUAAAGCGCACGUAGGCGGUAUGUUAAGCAAGAUGUGAAAGCCCAGAGCUCAACUCUGGAAUAGCAUUUUGAACUGGCAUGCUAGAGUUUUGGAGAGGGUGGUAGAAUUUCCAGUGUAGCGG
rnacentral:rRNA from 1 species